GUUAGCAUGAUUAGACGUACCAAAAUUUAGGAUAGAUUUUCAGAAAUGCAGAUUAAAAUUGAGAAUGGAAAUGGGGAUUAUAUAGAAGAAUAUAAGCUUAGAAAUGAUUCAAACCAUCCUGGAGGAGCAAAUUUUAUGAAGAAGCCAGCAGAUGUCAAAAGAAAUAAAAAGAAUGGAACAAAAGAAACUUUGAAAAAGAACAGUGAUACGAAAAUAUUGAAUAAAUGUUUUGCAUUUAUAA